UCUGAAUCUGCGAACGGCUCCGCAAACCAGUUGUAAACUAUAGCAAGCAGGCUCGGGGUCGGCCUUCACGGGCUGGCCUCGGGUGAUAUGGAUAACCCUGGUAAUUCUGAGGCUAAUACAUGAACGUAGAACCCGGUUGACUAGGCUUCACGGCCCGGGAUGCUGGGGGAUGUGCGAUUGGCAGGCUUGGGUAACACCGGGAAAGGGCGCGCGUCCAGACCGCGCUAUAAAGGAUGGGCUCCUCACGGGGCCUGCCCCAGCGGCUCUUGCUGUGUGCUUCUGACCUAUCAACUAGACGGCAGCGUAAGGGACAUGCUAUGGU
rnacentral:rRNA from 1 species